AUUGAACGCUGGCGGCAGGCCUAACACAUGCCAGUCGAACGGUAACAGGAAGCAGCUUGCUGCUUUGCUGACGAGUGGCGGACGGGUGAGUAAUGUCUGGGAAACUGCCUGAUGGAGGGGGAUAACUACUGGAAACGGUAGCUAAUACCGCAUAACGUCGCAAGACCAAAGAGGGGGACCUUAGGGCCUCUUGCCAUCGGAUGUGCCCAGAUGGGAUUAGCUAGUAGGUGGGGUAACGGCUCACCUAGGCGACGAUCCCUAGCUGGUCUGAGAGGAUGACCAGCCACACGGGAACUGAGACACGGUCCAGACUCCUACGGGAGGCAGCAGUGGGGAAUAUUGCACAAUGGGCGCAAGCCUGAUGCAGCCAUGCCGCGUGUAUGAAGAAGGCCUUCGGGUUGUAAAGUACUUUCAGCGGGGAGGAAGGGAGUAAAGUUAAUACCUUUGCUCAUUGACGUUACCCGCAGAAGAAGCACCGGCUAACUCCGUG
rnacentral:rRNA from 1 species